GCCAGGACACCUCUAUCUGAAAG
rnacentral:piRNA from 1 species